GGUAAAAGAGGGGGAGGUGUGGCAUUGCUUGUCAAAGAUAGUAUUACAGCGGUGGAAAGGACGAUGGAUGAGGACUUGCCAUCUGAGGUAGUUUGGGCUGAGGUUAGGAAUAGGAAAGAUGAGGUCACCCUGUCAGGAGUUUUGUACAG